rnacentral:rRNA from 1 species
GUGUGAUAAAUUAUCUAUGCCUUGGUAUUCUGCAUAAACGGAUUGCACCGCUUCUUAACGAGUGGAGAAACACAUUUGAUGAAUU